AUUCAAAUGACGAGUUCCAAAUAGGACGACGAAACGUACGUCCUGGAU
rnacentral:hammerhead_ribozyme from 1 species